AUCUAUGGCCAUGCCAUUCUGAAUGUGCCGGAUCUUGUCUGAUCUCAGAAGCUAAGCAGAGUUGAGCCUGGUUAGUACUUGGAUGGGAGACCACCUAGGAAUAUCAGGUUCUGUAGGCA
rnacentral:rRNA from 1 species